rnacentral:rRNA from 1 species
CUUAUCAACUUUCGAUGCCAUUUACUGCACCUACCAUGGUGCCCCCGGGUAACGGGGAAUAGGGGUUCGAUUCCG